UGGGAUCGUGCUGGGUGACAUUGUCAUUGUGGGUGGCAUUUUUGUUUUCCAGGUGUUUCUGUGACCUCAAGUAACACGGGUGUGCCUGAUAUCAGCGGCUCAGUCUAUAACAAGACUCAGACGUUUGACAAGCAGGGAUUCCAUGCUGGCACUCCGCCUCCCUUCAGCCUGCCCUCUGCUCUCGGAUCCACUGGGCCCCUGAACCCUGGUGCUGCCCCAGGUUAUGCUCCAGCCCCGUUUCUCCAUAUCCUCCCUGCGCAUCAGCAGCCUCAUUCCCAGAUGCUGCAUCACCACCUUCAGCAGGAUGGGCAGGGUGGAUCUGGCCAACGCAACCAACCCAGCACCAUGCAGCAAAAGUCUCAGGCUACCAAAACCGCCUAUGGCACUUCUCCAUACUGGACAAACUAAAUCCGAAAUGGGGGAAGGGAGAGAGAACGAAAGGAGAGAAGGAAAAAGAAAAAAAAGAAAAAAAAAAAAAGAAAACAGAAAAAGGAAAACAAAAGCCGAAGCCCAUUCCUGGAAUUAUUAGGAGAAGUAACUGCUCAGCCAAACGUCUGUGCGGGGAGAACUGCAGCCAGCCAGCCAUCCUCUGUGUGACUCGCCUGCUUCCUCUUUGAGUUGCUGUUGUAUGUAAUAUAUUUAUGUAUGUAUUUGUAAAUGUAAUAGAGCCUAAAUGUGGUUUUCUGCAUCUUGAAGCCUCUUUUAUUUUCUUUGUAGGAAAACUAAUUAUUCAUUUUCCAUCUGCACCAGGGCAUCCUUCCUUCCUUUUUUUUUUCUUUUUUUUUUUAAGCUCUAUGGGUUUUUGAACUCUGUCAGACAAAAGACAAACUGCGCCUUUUUUUUUUCUUGUUGUUGUAGAGCUGGAUCCCAUUUAUUGAAUGCAGUUCUAAAUUCAGGCAAAUAAGGAGACCUGCCCUUCCAAAAAAGCAAAGCAAGAUGUGUCCUGUUGGGUUUAUAUCUAUCCCUAGCCCCCAGUAUAGCUGUUAUUUUAAAGAGGGGGAAAAUAAAAGAAAGAAAAAGAAUUUUUUUAUCGGCCUUCCCCUUUCUUUCAUCUCCUCCUUCCCUCCUGCUGUGCAAGACAAACUUUCAUGGGCUGUUUUGUCAUUGUGGCCUUGAGCUGCAGCCUCACCUUUGAAUUUUUCAGUUUUUUGAUAAUAAUAAUAAUAAAAAAAAAAGGACAGGAUUUUCUGUUUUGGUUUUUUGGUUUUGGUUUGUUUGGUUUUUUUUGGUUUGGUUUUUUUUUUGUUGUUGUUGUUUAUUUGUUUUUGGGGAUUUUUGUUGUUGUUUUUCUCUAGCAAGAGACUGGAUGGCUCCUGGAACCUCCUUUGCAUCAUUAGAGGCAAAAACUAUGUAGCGGUUUCUUAAAUAAAAGUAUAAGCUGUGUCUUGUACAUCUUUUUGCCCUGAGCCACCCUCCCAGGAAAGCCAGAGCGACUGGAUGGAAACUUCAUCUGUCCCUCCCUACUUUUUUUAAAACAAAGGCCCUCGAGGCAACUCCUGGUCCUUCUUGUCCUACACCAGUGCGGUGAAUGUUCUAGGAUUUUCAUUUCUUUAUAGCCCUUCCUCCACCUAAUAAAGAUCUGAGC